UACGUAGGGUGCAAGCGUUGUCCGGAAUUAUUGGGCGUAAAGGGCGCGUAGGCGGUCUUUUAAGUCUUGUGUGAAAUCCCUCGGCUCAACUGAGGAACUGCACGGGAUACUGGAAGACUUGAGUUCGGGAGAGGGAAGCGGAAUUCCGGGUGUAGCGGUGAAAUGCGUAGAUAUCCGGAGGAACACCGGUGGCGAAGGCGGCUUCCUGGACCGAUUACUGACGCUGAGGCGCGAAAGCUAGGGGAGCAAACGGG
rnacentral:rRNA from 1 species